UACGUAGGCAGCAAGCGUUGUUCGGAGUUACUGGGCGUAAAGAGUGUGUAGGCGGUUCGCCAAGUCCGGUGUGAAAUCUCCCGGCUCAACUGGGAGGGUGCGCCGGAAACUGGCGGGCUGGAGUGCGGGAGAGGAGAGCGGAAUUCCUGGUGUAGCGGUGAAAUGCGUAGAGAUCAGGAGGAACACCUGCGGUGUAGACGGCUCUCUGGACCGCUACUGACGCUGAGACACGAAAGCGUGGGGAGCAAAC
rnacentral:rRNA from 1 species